rnacentral:rRNA from 1 species
CUACGUGCCAGCAGCCGCGGUAAUACGUAGGGUGCAAGCGUUGUCCGGAUUUACUGGGCGUAAAGAGCUCGUAGGUGGUGUGUCGCGUCGUCUGUGAAAUUCCGGGGCUUAACUCCGGGCGUGCAGGCGAUACGGGCACGACUAGAGUGCUGUAGGGGUAACUGGAAUUCCUGGUGUAGCGGUGAAAUGCGCAGAUAUCAGGAGGAACACCGAUGGCGAAGGCAGGUUACUGGGCAGUUACUGACGCUGAGGAGCGAAAGCAUGGGGAGCGAACAGGAUUAGAUACCCUGGUAGUCCAUGCUGUAAACGGUGGGCGCUAGGUGUGGGCUGUGUGUUUGCAGUCUGUGCCGUAGCUAACGCAUUAAGCGCCCCGCCUGGGGAGUACGGCCGCAAGGCUAAAACUCAAAGGAAUUGACGGGGGCCCGCACAAGCGGCGGAGCAUGUGGAUUAAUUCGAUGCAACGCGAAGAACCUUACCUGGGUUUGACAUGCACCAGAUCGGCGUAGAGAUA